rnacentral:lncRNA from 1 species
GUUUCUCUGUAUAGUCCUGGCUGUCCUGGAACUCACUCUGUAGACCAGGCUGGCCUCGAACUCAGAAAUCCGCCUGCCUCUGCCUCCCAAGUGCUAGGAUUAAAGGUGUGCGCCACCACGCCCGGCUCAAAAGCUACUUUUAAAGGUAACCCCUACACAGUAAAACAGUUCUUAAAUAAAUUAAAAAAAAAAAAAACAAAGACUUUAUUGGAUAACGUUACACAACAUUCUUUAACAUUUAACUCUGAGCAGAUGGAAGGUGAGAAACAAUUCAAGUCUACAAAUGAAAUAGGCCUGUGAAGAUUUUAAUACAGACAAAAGGUAGCAUGAAGCAGAGCUUAAAUAUUAAGCAACUAAAGCAAUAAAAAUGAAGUUGUAACAUGGUAGGCCUAGAUCUUAAAUACCACCAAGUAUCCUUUAUUUUUUUAAUGAAAAUCUAAUUUGUAAUAAAAGGCCCUUAAGGAUUUGCCAUGAGGAAAAAAAAAAAAUGUAGAUUCUUACAACCUGAUCUCUCCCAGUGCUUUUGCCUUUUUAAUUUUUUGGUCAAUUCCAUCACUCUACAAAUAAAAAUUUCUAAAGCUUAGAGGUCUUCCUGAUACGAUCCAUGCAUGAUUCCACAUGGCUUGGGAGAUACCUGGUUCCUGAGUGAGCGUGAGAGGUACUGCUGGUGUGGGGGUCUAAGACGAGAGUGACCCCAGAGCCUGGAGCUGUGAUUCAUCUUCUCCACAGCUCCCUGCUGUUACAGUUCCUGAGCCCAGCUGAUACGAUGACGCCAUGAUGUGAAGUCUCCAAAGAGAUCACUGUAAAAUGCAAUCAGGACUUCCCAGCACGUGCAGUGUUAGGAUCUGAAUUAAGCUCACUAGACUCCAGACUACCCGGCUUUUCUUCUUGAGUUAUAAAUCAAAUCACAGUCAGGUAUAGUAAAUGAUCUAAAAGUCUCACCCAGAGCAUUUCCUAAUCCUGAGCAAUGGGCUGUUGGGUACUCUCACCCACACAGAAAGAUCACAGGGAGUGACCUCUUGAGCUAAGCGCUCAUUUGUCACUUGUGUCACUUUGAAUGAGUACAGUGAGUUAGUUCUUUUUUCUUUUGGCUUUUUUUCUUUUUCUUUUUUUUUUUUUUUCUUUUUGUAGUAAGUAAUCAAUAUGAUGUUAUCUUUCUGGUUUAAAAAAUAAAUCAGUAUCGCCACU